rnacentral:tRNA from 1 species
GCGCCCUUAGCUCAGUUGGAUAGAGCAAUGGCCUUCUAAGCCAUAGGUCGUAGGUUCGAAUCCUACAGGGCGCGC